rnacentral:rRNA from 1 species
AGCGAACGCUGGCGGCAGGCCUAACACAUGCAAGUCGAACGAACCUUUCGGGGUUAGUGGCGGAUGGGUGAGUAACACGUGGGAACGUGCCUUUAGGUUCGGAAUAACUCAGGGAAACUUGUGCUAAUACCGAAUGUGCCCUUCGGGGGAAAGAUUAAUCGCCUUUAGAGCGGCCCGCGUCUGAUUAGCUAGUUGGUUGAGGUAAUGGCUCACCAAGGCGACGAUCAGUAGCUGGUCUGAGAGGAUGAUCAGCCACAUUGGGACUGAGACACGGCCCAAACUCCUACGGGAGGCAGCAGUGGGGAAUCUUGCGCAAUGGGCGAAAGCCUGACGCAGCCAUGCCGCGUGAAUGAUGAAGGUCUUAGGAUUGUAAAAUUCUUUCACCGGGGACGAUAAUGACGGUACCCGGAGAAGAAGCCCCGGCUAACUUCGUG